CAGAGAGACUGGUGUUUUGUUGUUGCGAGGAGGUGAGUGGGGGUGAGGUUGAUGUGUUUGUCUGGAUUUCUUUAGUAUUAUUCCCUAAAUGAUUAAUGGCUAUUAGAUCAAAUAAAAUGUUUCUCUUAUAAAUACUUUUGCAUAGUAUGACAUGUUGGAACGUUGUUUUGUACAAAAAUAUCAAUACAAAAAUGAUUAUUAUCACCAUAAACUGCAUUAGUCCAACAAUAUGCUAAUUUAUUUACAUGAUAUAGACUGAAGGAAAAAAAUGAUAAAUAAAUUGAUAAAUAAUAACAAUAAACAUGAAAUAUAAUAUUAAACAGUGUUACCUGCAGAGAGACUGAUGUUUUGUUGUUGCGAGGUGGUGAGUGGGGGUGAAGUUGAUGUGCUUGUCUGGAUUUCUUUAGUAUUACCACAUAAAUGAUAAUGAUUAUUAGAUU